UCGAACAACUUCCGCUUUCUGUGGGCAUUACUUCUAGAAGGUAGUAUCCUGGUCACUCCUGCAAUAAGCUAAAGAACAGCAGGGAAAACAUGUACUUCAUUUCUGAUACAGCAAGUUGAAACAACCAGCAGACAAGAUGACUAUGUAGCGAAGAAGAAGAAGAAGAAGAAGAAGAAGAAGAAGAAGAAGAAGAAGAAGAAGAAGAAGAAGAAGAAGAAGAAAAUCCUUCUGUUCUAGAGAGUGUCUCUUCACUCUGCUGUUUCUUUUGCUGGAAACAGCUUUUUUAAUUACUGCAACCCUAUCCAUCAAUUCGUGAUAUUAAUUGUUUCCUAAGUCACUGAAGUCCUGAUCAGAAAGCUCUUGACUAUGCCUAUAUCUUGAAAUGUUUCCCUCUGGCAGUGUCAAAUUUCCCAUUUUCCAUGAAGAUCUAUGAUCCAUUUUGAUUCAAUUUUGUAUAGAGUAAAUGGUUUUAAUUUCAA